rnacentral:lncRNA from 1 species
GUAAGAUUAAUUGACUAUCAAUUGAAAGCGUGAAUUGCUAGUUUCAAAAAUUGAUGUCGCUUUUCAACCAAAUAAAGUAAAAAGGCUCAGAGCGCGUACCUAAUUGACAAUGACAAAUCAAAGAGACUGCGGUUCUUGGCAAUAAAAUUGAUCGAAUCCUCCCCUUGGAUCUUUCCAUUUGAUGACGAAGGCGGCAAGAAGACAAAACCCUAGCAGAGCUCUUUUUUUCGCCUUCU